rnacentral:rRNA from 1 species
GAUCAUGGCUCAGGAGAACGCUGGCGGCGUGCUUAACACAUGCAAGUCGAACGAAAAGAGGGGAAGAGCUUGCUCUUUUCAGAAUUGAGUGGCAAACGGGUGAGUAACACGUAAACAACCUGCCUUCAGGAUGGGGACAACAGACGGAAACGACUGCUAAUACCGAAUAAGUUCCAAGAGCCGCAUGGCCCAUGGAAGAAAAGGUGGCCUCUACCUGUAAGCUAUCGCCUGAAGAGGGGUUUGCGUCUGAUUAGCUGGUUGGAGGGGUAACGGCCCACCAAGGCGACGAUCAGUAGCCGGUCUGAGAGGAUGAACGGCCACACUGGAACUGAGACACGGCCCAAACUCCUACGGGAGGCAGCAGUGGGGAAUAUUGCACAAUGGGGGAAACCCUGAUGCAGCGACGCCGCGUGAGCGAAGAAGUAUUUCGGUAUGUAAAGCUCUAUCAGCAGGGAAGAAGAAAUGACGGUACCUGACUAAGAAGCACCGGCUAAAUACGUG